GUCGCCGCACACAGGCCACACGCGACAGCCACAAACGCCGUUUUAAGCUAGUCUAUUGGUCGUAAAGUAAAUCGUUGUAGCCUUAGACCAAUUUUUUU